UUUUAUAUAGUUUAUACAAAACAUUUUAUUUUCAAUAAAAAAAUGACGCUACUCUUUAGUCUAUAAAUA
rnacentral:tRNA from 1 species